rnacentral:sRNA from 1 species
CCAAUAGCGUAUAUUAAAGUUGUUGCAGUUAAAAAGCUCGUAGUUGAAUUUCGGGACCAAUUUGUUGGUCGUGCCUCGGUACGUACUGGUAUUAUUGGUUUCUCCCUUCUGAAGAACCAUGAUGCCAUUAAUUUGGUGUCGUGGGGAAUCAGGACUGUUACUUUGAAAAAAUUAGAGUGUUUAAAGCAGGCAUACGCUUGAAUACAUUAGCAUGGAAUAAUGAAAUAGGACGUUUGAUUCUAUUUUGUUGGUUUCUAGGAUCGACGUAAUGAUUAAUAGGGAUAGUUGGGGGCAUUAGUAUUCAAUUGUCAGAGGUGAAAUUCUUGGAUUUAUUGAAGACUAACUACUGCGAAAGCAUUUGCCAAGGAUGUUUUCAUUAAUCAAGAACGAAAGUUAGGGGAUCGAAGACGAUCAGAUACCGUCGUAGUCUUAACCAUAAACUAUGCCGACUAGGGAUCGGAUGAUGUUAAUUUUUUAAUGACUCAUUCGGCGCCUUACG